CACUUACACAAGACACACACACACAUCUCCACAUGGAGUGACCUGCUUCCAUCAUGAAUAUGGAUGUGUUGAAGGAAUGCAAAUAGAGAGACGGAGAGAGGGAGAGAGAGAGAGACGAAAAGUCAGACAGUCAGCAGCACAACAAAGAGGUGGUAGGAAAUGAGAACAAAGGAUCAGCGCGGGUUGAAGCCGCACAGAUGCCUUCACUUCCAGCUCUGCCACAGCCCAGAUCAGAGAGGACAUGUCUGGGUAAGAGCCGCCAUAAAUCACCAAAUACUCCUGUUAGAUUUGUACCCUCUAAUAUAGAUGCUUUUGACAUCAUACUGCUAGUUUUAGUCUUUAGGUUUAUAUGUGUUUAUCUGCUUCAUCCACAACAAUAAAAAACCAUCAGGGCCAUAAACUCACAUCUCACUCAAUCAUCCCCCAGUGCCUCUGAAUGUCUCGUCAUUUAGCAAGGCAGGGCUGAGAGGAGGCAGAGCCGAAGAUAAAUGUGAGGGUAAAUGAAUCAUUCUAAUACGCUUUGUAAAUAUCUGCUUGCUCUCAAGAAGAGGAUCCAGCAGUCACUCAUUGGUGCGUAGACCCCAUAAAUUUUAGAUGAAGCCGGGGAGACAGCUGCCCAGAGGACACUGGUGAUCCCAGCAUGAAAACACUGGAAAUAGCUGUGAGAGAAGAGGCACCAUUAGGGAGCUCUCUGGCCGGUUAAACAACUGGUUUGUAAAAUGGGCUUUUGUGCAGGGAUGAUUUUAAAAAGCACUGGUUAUUGUGAAAUAAAACAGCCUCAUUAAAGGGAGAAAAAAUGCCCUGGAAGUCAGAUUCCGUAUGAGAAAGUGUGCAGGGCGAUGCAACAGAUUUUCCAUGGUGCUUAAAUAGAAUAAGCAAUAAAACGGAUGGCUUCAUAGAUAGUGACAUUUAAUGCAGGAGAAGUGCCAAGCCAGACGUGGUGUACAGGGGUCUGCUUGUAAAUAAUUAAUCUUUGCUCUUCAUGUCUUCUUGUCAGUACAGACGAGGGGCUUGUAUCCUGGCAACGCGCCAUGGUUCCCACAUGCUGCAGGGAGAGGGAGGCCCUCAGGGGGGAGACAAUCUUCAACCUGCCUGCAGCAGCGAGCGUGCACACACAUGCAAACACAGGCAUGCAUGUGUACACCAGAAAUGAGACUGACUGGAUGUUUGUACAUUCUGAGAACAUGCAUAUGUUAGUGUGCAUCCUUUCUCACACACACACACACACACACACACACACACACACACACACACACA